CCAACAGGGAUUGCCUUAGUAACGGCGAGUGAAGCGGCAAAAGCUCAAAUUUGAAAUCUGGCACCUUCGGUGUCCGAGUUGUAAUUUGAAGAAGGUAACUUUGGAGUUGGCUCUUGUCUAUGUUCCUUGGAACAGGACGUCACAGAGGGUGAGAAUCCCGUGCGAUGAGAUGCCCAAUUCUAUGUAAAGUGCUUUCGAAGAGUCGAGUUGUUUGGGAAUGCAGCUCUAAGUGGGUGGUAAAUUCCAUCUAAAGCUAAAUAUUGGCGAGAGACCGAUAGCGAACAAGUACAGUGAUGGAAAGAUGAAAAGAACUUUGAAAAGAGAGUGAAAAAGUACGUGAAAUUGUUGAAAGGGAAGGGCUUGAGAUCAGACUUGGUAUUUUGCGAUCCUUUCCUUCUUGGUUGGGUUCCUCGCAGCUUACUGGGCCAGCAUCGGUUUGGAUGGUAGGAUAAUGACUAAGGAAUGUGGCUCUACUUCGGUGGAGUGUUAUAGCCUUGGUUGAUACUGCCUGUCUAGACCGAGGACUGCGUCUUUUGACUAGGAUGUUGGCAUAAUGAUCUUAAGCCAC
rnacentral:rRNA from 1 species